GAAAUGUAAACAAUGUCGCGUGGCUUGCAGCUGCGCGUUACUCAGUGCCAGUGGUUUCCUUCUGCUCUAAGUUGCUAAUUACGUCCGGAUUAGGCAAAACCGCCAGACGAUUAGCUGCGCGGACGAUUUGCUUCCCUGAAGCAGUGCGCAGUGUAACGACGCGAACUACAUCGUCCUUUCCAGGGUGUACUGCAACGAUGCGCCCCAUCGGCCACGAGGUAGGAUGUACAUUGUCUUCCUUAAUAAUCACCAGUGUAUUUUCUUUCAGAACCGCUGAUUUCCCGUUGCAAUAUUGGCUUGAGCUUGUAUUCCCUCAAGUAGUUGCUCGGUGUCUCGGUGUAAUCGAUGAUUGGUACCGCUUGCAGAUUGCCACCGACGAGGAAGUGUCCCGGUGUCAAUGGUUCCAAGUCCGACGGCUCAUCGGAUAGAGGUGUAAUUGGUCGCGAAUUCAAACAUUGCUCUACCUGGGCAAGUAGGCUGCCUUCACCGCUGCCUCCCAUAAACCUCCAAAAUGUGGUGCUCUUGGUGGGAUAAACUUCCACUUCAUCUGAUUCAUCGCGCACCAAUCAAAUAUAGCAGCUCGAUCAUGUUCGUUGCACUUUAGCAUCUUGUAUACGCGAUUCAGCUCAUGUGCCGCUCCCUUAAAGGUGGUUGCAUUGUCGGAAUGCAGUUCACUGAUUUGACCACGACGUGCAAUCAAACGACGAAGUGCAUUGAUAAAUGCUGUUGAUGUUAAAUCGCCAACCAGUUCGAUAUGUACCGCUCUUGUUGAAAAACAUACAAAUAUGGCGAUGUAUGCUUUAAUCGGA